rnacentral:rRNA from 1 species
CCUACGGGAGGCUGCAGUGAGGAAUAUUGGUCAAUGGACGAGAGUCUGAACCAGCCAAGUAGCGUGAAGGAUGACUGCCCUAUGGGUUGUAAACUUCUUUUAUAAAGGAAUAAAACGAGGCACGUGUGCCUUUUUGCAUGUACUUUAUGAAUAAGGAUCGGCUAACUCCGUGCCAGCAGCCGCGGUAAUACGGAGGAUCCGAGUGUUAUCCGGAUUUAUUUGGGUUAAAGGGAGCGUAGAUGGGUUGUUAAGUCAGUUGUGAAAGUUUGCGGCUCAACCGUAAAAUUGCAAUUGAUACUGGCAGUCUUGAGUACAGUUGAGGUAGGCGGAAUUCGUGGUGUAGCGGUGAAAUGCUUAGAUAUCACGAAGAACCCCGAUUGCGAAGGCAGCUUACUAAACUGUGACUGACAUUGAUGCUCGAAAGUGUGGGUAUCAAACAGGAUUAGAUACCCCAGUAGUC